UACAAGACAAUCAUGGAUAUUCAUGGAUGUAGGGUCCUGUCCUACUAGCUGAUCCCUUUAAGGUGGGGGCAAACUCUCUAUACCUGACAGACAGAACAAGGUGGAAGAAACAGUUUGUAUGUAUUCAGGAAUGGAGAAGGAGCCUGUCAGGGCUCAAAGGGAGGCCUGCAAAGACAGGUGCCCUGUCUCCAGGGCUUGGGGGAAGCUGGAGGAAACAGCUCGUGAGGCUACAAGAGACUGGCCGGUUGCUGGGACAGAGUCUUUCCAAUGCCCUCAUGGAUAUAGAGGCAAAUGCUCCGAAACUGGAGGAUCGGUCGAGUUAGAUGGAUCUGACAUUCACAGCUUGUUAAUCACCAGAACCCCAGUUGCAGUCUUCUAG
rnacentral:lncRNA from 1 species